GACGAACGCUGGCGGCGUGCCUAAUACAUGCAAGUAGAACGCUGAAGGAGGAGCUUGCUUCUCUGGAUGAGUUGCGAACGGGUGAGUAACGCGUAGGUAACCUGCCUGGUAGCGGGGGAUAACUAUUGGAAACGAUAGCUAAUACCGCAUAAUAGCAGUUGUUGCAUGACAACUGUUUGAAAGGUGCAAUUGCACCACUACCAGAUGGACCUGCGUUGUAUUAGCUAGUUGGUGGGGUAACGGCUCUCCAAGGCGACGAUACAUAGCCGACCUGAGAGGGGGAGCGGCCACACUGGGACUGAGACACGGCCCAGACUCCUACGGGAGGCAGCAGUAGGGAAUCUUCGGCAAUGGACGGAAGUCUGACCGAGCAACGCCGCGUGAGUGAAGAAGGUUUUCGGAUCGUAAAGCUCUGUUGUAAGAGAAGAACGAGUGUGAGAGUGGAAAGUUCACACUGUGACGGUAUCUUACCAGAAAGGGACGGCUAACUACGUG
rnacentral:rRNA from 1 species